rnacentral:rRNA from 1 species
GACGAACGCUGGCGGCGCGCUUAACACAUGCAAGUCGAGCGAUGAAAUCUUGACAGAACCCUUCGGGGCGAAGAUAAGAUGGAUUAGCGGCGGACGGGUGAGUAACACGUGAGUAACCUGCCUUAGACAUUGGGAUAGCCUCGGGAAACCGGGAUUAAUACCAAAUGAAAUCACAUAUGCACAUGCAUAAAUGAUCAAAGCUCCGGCGGUCUAAGAUGGACUCGCGUCCCAUUAGCUAGUUGGUGAGGUAACGGCCCACCAAGGCGACGAUGGGUAGCCGGCCUGAGAGGGUGAACGGCCACAUUGGAACUGAGAAACGGUCCAAACUCCUACGGGAGGCAGCAGUGGGGAAUAUUGCACAAUGGAGGGAACUCUGAUGCAGCGACGCCGCGUGAACGAAGAAGGCUUUCGAGUCGUAAAGUUCUUUUAUGUGGGAAGAUAAUGACGGUACCAUAAGAAAAAGCCCCGGCUAACUACGUGCCAGCAGCCGCGGUAAUACGUAGGGGGCUAGCGUUGUCCGGAAUCACUGGGCGUAAAGGGUUCGCAGGCGGAAAUGCAAGUCAGGUGUAAAAGGCAGUAGCUUAACUACUGUAAGCAUUUGAAACUGCAUAUCUUGAGAAGAGUAGAGGUAAGUGGAAUUUUUAGUGUAGCGGUGAAAUGCGUAGAUAUUAAAAAGAAUACCGGUGGCGAAGGCGACUUACUGGGCUCAUUCUGACGCUGAGGAACGAAAGCGUGGGUAGCAAACAGGAUUAGAUACCCUGGUAGUCCACGCUGUAAACGAUGAGUGCUAGGUAUCGGAAAAAUUCGGUGCCGCAGUUAACACAUUAAGCACUCCGCCUGGGGAGUACGUGCGCAAGCAGA